rnacentral:lncRNA from 1 species
UGUCAUUAACUCUGAGUUUUGUACACGUUUUUUUAUUCAUUUGCUCAGGGUAUGGUGCACUUGCUACCUUGCCUUUCCGCUGACGUUUUCUAAGCCAUUCUCUUUGAGAGUCAUUGAUGUUCUAUAAGCGACUUAAAGUGAGGGAAGCCUGUGUUUGUCAAUAUUCAAAUGCAGAUCGAACAUUGAAGCAUAUUUCUGUCUAUUUUGGUGGGAUGAUGGCAUUUUAUGUGAAUGCAGCCAUGUCAGUAUGAUUUGCAGAGUGGUUCUUAGCAACAUAUGAUAAUGACCUUUGUUUUAUGUUGAACUUGACCGCAGUUUGUUACUCAUGCCCGCUAGGUAGUUGUCUUAUUUGGUGGUGCAACAUAUUGGCUGUAGGGUUCUGUUGCUUUCAGCUUGUUCGUGUUUACAAUUUCUUGUCCUAGUCCUCAUUAACGGUAACAACUAUUGGUCUGCAAGGUCCCAAAACGUGAUUCCACAGAGCCAUUAUCAUUCAACUUGGUGUAGUCAAAUAACUUUGGUUCACAAUUGUCCUACAUAAGAUCCGGUGUGGUAUGCCUCACAAGGUAGCUUUGCGCUUACUUACUCAUGAUUUCCCUUUUGAUUUGUCUAUUUGUUGAGUUGAUUAGGUACUGUAAGACCUACGGCUUGCGCAUUUUCUAGCUCGUGCCCAUCUGCUCGCUUGGAUCAUUUUAGUAGGCUUCUCCACUCCUUUUACUGUUACUGUCUUUAUAGUACCUGGUUUUUCAACUACCACACCUAUUUCAGUAACCUUCACACCUGUUUUUUUCUUUUAAUUUAUGGUUUUCCAAGUUCUGUGCCAAAUUUGUGGUGCUUGAGCUGAAACAACUUCAGGUAGGCUAAUUACGGGCACGUGCUUGAUAGAGCUAAGAAACAGCUAACCAUAAUUUAUGACACAAUAGCAAGAGUAGACUGGGGAACUCUUACGGUGAUUCUAGGCUAGUCUACAAAACAAAAUUUACAAUUCCAGCCAAGAAGAUGAAAAAGGGAUAAAGAAACCUAAGCUUUGCAUAAGCUAGGCUUAUCUGGAUGUGUAUUUUACAUGCUAAGCUGAGCUUCUCCAGACACAAUUCUUUGGUGACUAAUUGAAGCAGUACUGGCACCAGUCCCCGUAUUCUUAAUUCUCUUGAUGUAACAAGCGCACAAAAGGAAGGUAAUAACACAAACAUAUGGGAACGACUCUCGUGUUUCUCCUGCGUUGUUGUCGACUGUUAUGCAUUGAAAGUUUGUUCAUGGUGCUACAAACCUCGCCUUUUGAUGUCCACUUGCUAUGUUCGAACUAUUCCUUACCCUGACACGUUUUACUUGUAAUAUGUAGUGACUUAGGUUACGUUAUCAAGUCAUUUGGCCGUGUUAAACAUGUAUUUGCAUCACAAUAUGAAAUGUAUAUGGGUCGGUUGAAUUUGAAGCAAAUGAUUGUAUGUUGUACGGUUGGUUUAUAAAUGAAAGAUGUAAUUUUAGUAUGUGAACAUGCUUUGCAACUGUAUUGUACUUAUAGUUUCAAUCAUAAAUUACAAUGAGCCAAAGGUGAAUUAUGGAAGAAUAACAAGAGG